UUGCAGCCUUUGGAGCCAUCCGAAGGCAGUGCCUGCACCUUGUGAUCUCCUCGGCUGAAUGAAUGUGUCAGGCUGGGUGCUUUCAAACCCAGCCCCAGUUCCAACACAGCCCUCCUGUGUGCCUGGGUACCGUUAGAUCCUUCCUCCCUCAGCCUCCCCAUCCCUAUCACAGUUCACCUUAUGGAGAGGAGCACUUCCUCAAAAGACCCUGCCUGAUUUUAACUCUGCUGAGACCACUGGAGCACAGCAAGGAUUGGGUGGAUUGGAAGUCUUUCACUCCCUCCUGCAUCGAAGGGAUCGAAGGGUUUUGCUCCCUGGCUUGUGAGACAGAAUGA
rnacentral:lncRNA from 1 species